AACCCAAGCCCGGACCUUCCAAACAACAAUCUGACUUUGGUCCGACCCAACGGGAGUUAGUGUAUGAUGAUACCGAUAGUGUGUCAGCAAGCCAUGGGAAAAGACGGAAAACAGGUUGUGUGGAAAGCAAACGGGGACAUAACAAAAAGCACAGUGGGAAGAAAAGCAUUGUCGGGGAUAUUUCUGGGUGUGGAAAUAAAAGAAAACGUGGUGAAAGAAACAGCGCCGAUGAUAAUUAUGGCAAUGUAA